CACGUAGGGGGCAAGCGUUGUCCGGAUUUACUGGGCGUAAAGAGCGUGUAGGCGGCCAGGCAGGUCUGUUGUGAAAACUGGAGGCUUAACCUCCAGACGUCGACAGAAACCGUCUGGCUAGAGUCCGGAAGAGGAGAGUGGAAUUCCUGGUGUAGCGGUGAAAUGCGCAGAUAUCAGGAAGAACACCAAUGGCGAAGGCAGCUCUCUGGGACGGUACUGACGCUGAGACGCGAAAGCGUGGGGAGCGAACAGG
rnacentral:rRNA from 1 species